UACGAAGGGGGCUAGCGUUGCUCGGAAUCACUGGGCGUAAAGGGUGCGUAGGCGGGUCUUUUAAGUCAGGGGUGAAAUCCUGGAGCUCAACUCCAGAACUGCCUUUGAUACUGGGUAUCUCGAGUAUGGAAGAGGUGAGUGGAAUUCCGAGUGUAGAGGUGAAAUUCGUAGAUAUUCGGAGGAACACCAGUGGCGAAGGCGGCUCACUGGUCCAUUACUGACGCUGAGGUGCGAAAGCGUGGGGGAGCAAACAGG
rnacentral:rRNA from 1 species